UUCUUCUUCUUUUUCUGUAUUUCCAAAUUCUCUCUUUCACUUCCUCUCUCUCGCCGUCUCCUUUAUGCCAACCAUCUAUACUGCUUACCUCACACGCUAACACCCCUGUUUGAAACACUCUCAUCUAUCGUCUAGCUUCAUUCCAUGACACCUCUAUUUCUCUCCUUCUCUCCCUCUCCAUGAUCGUACUUCCCUUACCAUGGCCAACCCAAUUGGUUUCUGAAUUAAGAACUUUGUUUGAAUUUGAUUAUGAUAUCCCUGCUACUAUAUAUUUGAUCUUAAUUCUACAUCUAUGAUGUUUUUGUUGCUGUAAUUUUCGUUUGCUUCAAUCAGUUUUAUGUUUUUAACUUGUUUUUCGUGUUGAUUUUAAGUUUGUAUUCCUAUUUGUUGAUGUUUAAUUGUUGAUUUCUGAACAACCUCGCGACAGGCGUAAUUGUAUUGCAGCAGGUUUUAUUCCUUUUCAUCUGCUAUGUGUGUUUUAAAACAAUUUUAGCAUCCAACGACCCUGUUUUCUUCGCUAUACAUUCGGGAUGUAUGCUUUCUUGAUAAAUCCCUCGCUACAUGUGUAAGUUUUCAUCGUUCAAUAUAUUAUAUUUUACUGAAAAAUCUAUAGUCCUGAUUUUUUCUGUAACCCUAUUAUGUUUUUACUUUUAAAUUCGAAUUAUAAAUCUUAUAAUAUGUGUAAGUUUCUUUUUUUUUUUAGGAUUCAGUUUUGGACUGCAAUUUUUCAGGUUUCUUUUCUUUCUAGGAUUUCUCUUAGUUGAGUGAGAAGAUAUGUAACAUGAAUUCUAAUACUUUUAUACUUCAGGACUGUCCUUUGUCAUUACUGUUGUUAAGCAGUGAGUAGGGUAUUGUGAAACUAUGACAAUUUUCGUUUUUUACAGUAACGGAUACACCUUGGGCUGAAAGAGUAACCUUUGUAUGUCAGUCCUUUUAUGUACAUUUAGCAAAGCUACCAAAAGAGCUGAUGUACGGUGCUGACAAUUUAGCCGAGUCAUAAGGAGGAUUGUCGUAUGGGUAGGUGAUUCGGCUGAGUCACAGAGAGUGAUUCAAUUUGAGGUAAGUAAAUUACACAGAUGUUCUGCUCCUAAAGAACUUGAAGCUCUUGAAAAUUCAAUGUCACAUUGAGAAGUGUAUAAAUUAAUGUUAUACUUAUGCUUAAUACCAACAAGCUAUUGAUUUUUCGAAUGUGCUUUAUUUUAUUGAUUUGUUUUAAGGAAUAAAUGUAAGGCUUAUUGCCAUUUGAUUCUAAUUACACGUGUUGAAUUAGUUUAUAUAUGCUAAGGUUAUCAUCAUGUAGAGAGUAUAUGCAUACAUGAAUCUAUAUAGAUGAGUUUCUACAAAUUGUGAAUUAUUUCCACUGCAUCUAUCGUUUUCUGACAGCAGGAACUGAAAUGUUGCAGAUGCUCAGCUUAAUAUAUUGAGAGUUUGUGUGCUCAAUGUAAUUCAAUUUAUAACUAAAUCAUAAUUGUACAUUGUUUAGAAAAAAAUAGCAUUUCCCUAAAAACAAUAAUUGAUGUAAUUCGAAGAGUUAUUAAAACCAACUUUGAGUAGUAUACAUUACCAUGUUCAACUCACAAACAACAAUAAUUGUAGUGCUGUUUUUUGUUUUUUCUGGUGUAUUUAAUUUUGAGCCGUCUUUUUAAAAUUGUCUUUCAUCUAUUCUUUUCCAUCUAUUCUUUUCACAAAUGCUUGCAAUAUAUGCAUGAAGUAUUUUAGAAUUCUCUAUAAAUAAAUACAAUUCUGCUACCCUUACUAAGCAUUACAAACUACAGUUUUGAUAUCCUGCUUUUCUGUUACAAACAACCUGUCCAGCAAACGGUAACUUUAUAAAAAUCAUUAUAUCUUAUGUGGGAGACUUCAUUUUUGCAUAACUAAUCCACAUCAUGCAUAUUGAAUUUCAUGAUUUUUGGAGGUUUACUGAUGCAAUAAUAUCUCAUGAUUGUCAUAUAUGUGUGGGUUCACUAAUGCAAUUUUUGGAGGUUUAUAUUGCGAGAGAAAGAUAUGUCAAUUAUUGGAGUUUCAGGACUGUUGUUGCAAGGCAUUUGGCAAACAUGUAUGGAGAUUUUUGCUUCUUUGUUGAAGUUAAAAAUACUGAAGUAGGAAGGAAGAUAAUUUAGUUGUUGGGUAUACUGGUUUAUGCAUAAAUGUAGCACGAGAUAUACUCAAUGACGAAUGAAAAAAGUGCAGAUCAUGCAAUGCAUAAGAGCAAUGGUGCAGGCGACAAAUAAAUAUUAUAAGUGUUUAUUUGUUUUUGUGCAAGAAUACUAUAAGUGUUUAUUAAUUACGUGUAUAGUUUGUGAUACAUUGGUGUUGUACUUUAAGUAUUUGGUGUAAUUCAAAGUUGUAAAUAUGCGCGGAGCAAAAGGUGUAUGAUCUAAACCUCAUUAGACUCAUACUAUUGUUCCUUAACUUAAUGAAUUUAUUUGUUGUCUUAUUCCAAAAAA